AGGUAGGUACCUUGUUGCAGCACAAGCGCAAUGAAUUCACGCCCCAGUCAUUGCCCCACCGCCCUUCAGCAGGACUAUCACCAGGAGCACUUUCAGAGCCUCAUAGAUGGGGUAUUCUGCUUUCCUGUAGAGGGGGAAAGCUCUGCACCUCAUUUGCAGGUGGGAGUUGAAGAUAUCCUUUUAAAAGCAUGCAGGUUUAGGCUUAUCCCAUCUGAGUCUGUGCUGCUGGGGACCACACUUAGGAGUGGAAGGGCUUUGCAGAUUAUUUUUGUCAAAGUGGGACUUUUGGGUCACUUCCAACUCAGGAUAUUCUAUGAUCUAUGAUUCUCUUGUUCUCGAGGUGGGUAGAGUAUGCAUCUGUGCCAGGAGAGGUGCUCAUGUUUCCCACCUUCUGGCAGCACAUCCUCAUCUCCAAAUGUAGAUUUUCAUGAGCUGGUAUUGUCUCAGUCACCGCUUUGAAAUUGUUUAGGUUUCAUGAAGGGCAAUGCUUGACUGACUCGGGCUAAUUCUAUACCCUGACAGUCAGCGGGGCAAGUAGGGAAAAAGACAAGAAUUUGGUGUUUACUGCAAGUGAAUGUGUAAAUAAAUUGUGAGGAGUAGUAGGGCUUUAACGGGAGAAGUGGGGAGAGUCCAAACUAUGAUAUCACAUAGCUGAGUCAGUAGAGUUCUUGUGGGAGAUGUAAAUGUGCAUUCCUUCAGGCAGAGAGAAGAUUUGAGUCUCCCAUGUUCAGUGUGUGGUGCUUAAUUGCCGAGGUACUAAAAAAGCUGCUUUUCUAGCUCUGUUUUAUGAAAACGGUGAGGAUUCAAGGUCACACACAGUGGGAGCUUUUUGCUGUCCCUUCCUGAAUUUCAGCCUCUCAUCUUGGCUAUCCCUGUCAAGUAGAUUAUUCAGUUCUCAGUCAGAGUGGAAGACACAUAGUUGUGAGAAAAUCCCACCUUUUGCAGCCUAAUUGCUUUUAUAUCUGGAAUGCAGAUGUUCAGCUCAUGUCUUUAGGUACCUAAAAGGUUGACCUGUAGCCCUUGCUCUCUCCAUGCCUCUGGUGUGCUGCCUAUAUACAGACAGUAGUGCACUGUUUGAAGCACUUGGCAGGUAAUUGGAUAAGAUUCUUCCUUUUCUGAGAACAAGGCAAUAUUAUUUUUAUAAAGAUGAUAAUCAGAACAGAUUGAACUACCCGAACAUGUCAUGAGUUGCAUACAGGAAGGCAUUUUCAUGUAACCCUCGCAGAUUUCAGGAAAAGUCACAAAGGUGCCCACAAAAUCUAUCUACAUGGAAAUUGAUGCAACACUAAGGACUUACAAGUCUUUGAGAUGCUAAGUGUGUGUAAACAUUUUUGGGAUGAGAGCCUGAAGUUGCAAGCCAACUGCCAUUAUAAAUUCCUGUUCUGUCUGCUUACAACUUUCCCAGAACAAUUUCCUUGAGGGAUUAAGCCUUCUAUGAUUAGUCUCAGCUCAAAGAUGAUAUUUUUGAAUGUUUGAACAAAGGCCAACUAAAAGCACGUGGUCUUAGAGGAUGGAUAAAUCUGUUUUUAACCUUGAAAAACUGUGCAAAAGUUACUCAGAUUAAGGUAUGAAGUUAGUAUGAGCCUAGUAGACAUCAACAAGCUUAAAAAAGCUUAUUCAGCAAUUAUUUCUGAGCUAUAUGCCAUUUCUACAAUUUUUCUCAAAAACAUAGAGGUCCCAAUCAUAUUUGGUUUGUACAAGCAAAGGAAAAGGGUUACAGUGCAACAUUCUGUCCUGAUACCACGUGAGGAUGGAGACAAGAGUUGGAGACAGAGAGAGAAGGUGUCCAGAGUGUCCAGAGCGGAUUCGAGUGAUUCUGACAGGGUGUGACACACGUUGUUUUCUCUGGUGGAACCAAGCCAAGCAAAGAGGCAUUCACAGACAGAUCCUGUGGGUACCUUCAGCCAUCGAGGAGUUUGGCAAUCCCAAGAGCCUUGAGCACAUCUCUUCUUGGAAAGGGUGGAAACCAGAGAUGGUACAAGACGAUAACUUAAUGCAGUGAUUGCUGGUUGUCCAUGGAGAAGCACAAACUUGAGCCAGGAUUUGGAAUAAAGCCAAGAAAACUGCUGAGAAGACAGAUCCUUGGUAUCACAUGCUGUAGGUCGUCAUGGGACCCAUCACAAAGCCCAGCUGUGCAGUGAGCUCUGCCUCUGCAGGCACCAGUGUCUCCCCAUGUAGGCAACGUGGUAUUAGGAACCAGGAAUCGGUACCCACAGCUCUUCAUGUGGAGAAAGGUUCUUACAGUUAAAAACUGUAGAUGUAAUGGAGACUCAAGAAAAAACUUUUAAAAAGAUGGGGAAGAGGAUGAAGGAAAUGUCCUAAAAGAAGAACCUGGGUUCCUGCUAUCACAAAGACUUAACAGAAGCAAAACAAAACCAAAAGAGAGAUAACAUAGUGAGGGUUGAAUAAAGUCCUACUCCAAAAGGGUUUUCUGUUGGGAUGUGAGGCUGCAGCUCUUGACGCUGCUCUGAUUGCUGAUGGCAUCAGUGCUUAACUUGGGAUGGUGGGCAUGCAGGGAGCAGACAACAGGAAGGGAAAGUUUGCCUUACUGUAGCUUGCAGAAGUGCCCCAGACCCCCCCAUUCUUGCACUGAAGUCCCAAUAAAGACCACUGCU
ensembl:lncRNA